rnacentral:rRNA from 1 species
UGGGGAAUUUUGGACAAUGGGGGAAACCCUGAUCCAGCAACGCUGCGUGAGGGACGAAGGCCUUCGGGUCGUAAACCUCUUUUCUGGGGGACGAAAUCCCGCAAGGGUUUGACGGUACUCCAGGAAUAAGCCCCGGCUAAAUAUGUGCCAGCAGCCGCGGUAAGACAUAUGGGGCGAGCGUUAUUCGGAAUUACUAGGCGUAAAGGGCGUGUAGGCGGAUGUCUAAGUCCGUUGUGAAAUCUCCCGGCCCAACCGGGAGGGGUCGACGGAAACUAGGCGUCUAGAGUGAGGUAGGGGGUGCCGGAAUUCCUGGUGUAGCGGUGAAAUGCGUAGAUAUCAGGAGGAACACCGGCGGCGAAGGCGGGCACCUGGGCCUUUACUGACGCUGAUACGCGAAAGCUAGGGGAGCAAACAGG